rnacentral:rRNA from 1 species
CGGGAUACCCGAGGGAAACUUCGGUUAAUACGGUAUAAGACCACACUACCGCAUGGUAGAGGGGUAAAAGGGGCAACCUGGUAUGAGAUGGACUCGCGUCGCAUUAGCUAGUUGGUGAGGUAACGGCCCACCAAGGCGACGAUGCGUAGCCGACCUGAGAGGGUGAUCGGCCACAUUGGGACUGAGAUACGGCCCAGACUCCUACGGGAGGCAGCAGUGGGGAAUAUUGGGCAAUGGAGGAAACUCUGACCCAGCAAUGCCGCGUGAAUGAAGAAGGUCUUCGGAUUGUAAAGUUCUUUAGUCAGGGAAGAAGUCAAUGACGGUACCUGAAGAAUAAGCUCCGACUAACUACGUGCCAGCAGCCGCGGUAAUACGUAGGGAGCAAGCGUUGUUCGGAAUGACUGGGCGUAAAGGGUGCGUAGGCGGUUGUACAAGUUAGAAGUGAAAUACCCAGGGCUUAACUCGGGUGCUGCUUCUAAAACUGUAUGACUUGAGUGCAGUAGAGGUUAGUGGAAUUCCUAGUGUAGCGGUGGAAUGCGUAGAUAUUAGGAGGAACACCAGAGGCGAAGGCGGCUAACUGGACUGCAACUGACGCUGAGGCACGAAAGUGUGGGGAGCAAACAGGAUUAGAUACCCUGGUAGUCCACACUGUAAACGAUGGAUACUAGAUGUAGGAGGUAUCGACUCCUUCUGCGUCGCAG